GCUGGGCAUGGUGGUGCACGCCUGUAAUCCCAGUUACUUGGGAGGCUGAGGCAGGAGAAUCACUUGAACCCGGGAGGCAGAGGUUACAGUGAGCCAAGAUGGCGUCACUGUACUCCAGCCUGGGUGACAGAGCGAGACUCUGUCUCAA
rfam:Pan troglodytes isolate Yerkes chimp pedigree #C0471 (Clint) chromosome X, whole genome shotgun sequence.